rnacentral:rRNA from 1 species
GGAUCCCCUUUUUGAUUAUGGCUCAGGAUAAACGCUGGCGGCGCACAUAAGACAUGCAAGUCGAACGAACUUAAUUCAAAAGUUUACUUUUGAAAGCGGUUAGUGGCGGACUGGUGAGUAACGCGUAAGCAAUCUGCCUAUCAGAGGGGAAUAACAGUGAGAAAUCACUGCUAAUACCGCAUAAGCUGUGAGGAGCACAUGCUCUAAAUAGAAAAGGAGUAAUCCGCUGAUAGAUGAGCUUGCGUCUGAUUAGUUAGUUGGUGAGGUAACGGCCCACCAAGACGAUGAUCAGUAGCCGGACUGAGAGGUUGAACGGCCACAUUGGGACUGAGAUACGGCCCAGACUCCUACGGGAGGCAGCAGUCGGGAAUAUUGCGCAAUGGAGGAAACUCUGACGCAGUGACGCCGCGUGCAGGAAGAAGGUUUUCGGAUUGUAAACUGCUUUAGACAGGGACGAAAUAAAUGACGGUACCUGUAGAAUAAGCUCCGGCUAACUACGUGCCAGCAGCCGCGGUAAUACGUAGGGAGCAAGCGUUAUCCGGAUUUAUUGGGUGUAAAGGGUGCGUAGACGGAAAGACAAGUUAGUUGUGAAAUACCUCGGCUUAACUGAGGAACUGCAACUAAAACUAUCUAUCUUGAGUACUGGAGGGGAAAGCGGAAUUCCUAGUGUAGCGGUGAAAUGCGUAGAUAUUAGGAAGAACACCGGUGGCGAAGGCGGCUUUCUGGACAGUAACUGACGUUGAGGCACGAAAGUGUGGGGAGCAAACAGGAUUAGAUACCCUGGUAGUCCACACCGUAAACGAUGGAUACUAGGUGUAGGUGUUGAUAAGUCAUCUGUGCCGUCGCAAAAGCAGUAAGUAUCCCACCUGGUGAGUACGGCCCC